GUUUGUCCCAUUAUGCUGGAGAACAAAAGCUAUGCAAAACAUUAUGGCCAGUUACCGUAGCAGGUCAGCAGAUGGAAGGAGGGAGGGAAAAAGCAAGCAGAACAUGCAUGCCACAGCCUGGCUUCAGUCAUUUGGCAGUCAGAGCAGGGCCUUCCCGAGACCCUGUAUACGUGCUGUCUCCUGAGUGCUGGUGGAGAAGACCUUUGGACCAAUGUUUUCUGGUGUCUCAGGAAGAAAUGCAAGGCAAUGCCCAUCUCCAUCAGACAAGUUUGAGCUAGUGCAUGACUUUCUGAUGGGGGAUCUCAGUAUAACUAUCUACUUAGGCGCAGUAAAUAUUAAGUAGCUUUGAUAUAAAGGAAAAUGAUAUUUAUUUAUUUUUUGCCA
rnacentral:lncRNA from 1 species